rnacentral:tRNA from 5 species
GGGGCUAUAGCUCAAUUGGUAGAGCGCUUGCAUGGCAUGCAAGAGGUCAGGGGUUCAAUUCCCCUUAGCUCCACAA